rnacentral:sRNA from 1 species
AGUGGGAUUUUCGACGAAAAAGCUUCCAGUCAAAAGGCCAUGGUUCGAGUCCC